rnacentral:tRNA from 1 species
UGCCGAGUAGCCAAGUGGUAAGGCAGCGGGCUUUGAACUCGCUAUCGUUGGUUCGAUCCCAGCCUCGGCAG